UUGAACUGGAGAGUUUGAUCCUGGCUCAGAGUAAACGCUGGCGGCGUGCCUAACACAUGCAAGUCGCACGAGAACGUCUGUCUUCGGACGGGCAAGUAAAGUGGCGCACGGGUGAGUAACGCGUAGGCAACCUACCU
rnacentral:rRNA from 1 species